UUUGAAUAUCAAAUGUCAGAGUAUGUAAUAUGAUUGAUAUAAAAUAGUAAUAGAUGAAUCAGAUUAACUUCUUUAAUAAUUUUAAAAUAUGAGUUUGAGGACAAUGUUUAUUUUACAAUAUUUAAUUAUUGCAAAUUUUGACAUUUGGAGGUCUAACUCAUUGGACUUCCUUCAUUGACAUCCUCUGUUAUCAUCAUGUAGCAAGUAUAAAUCUCAAUUCUAGGAAUUUAUAAGACAAUGACACAUAAAAAUGUUAAUGUGUCCAGGGUUUACAAAAUACAAAACGACUGGAGAUUCUUGAAAAGAAUUGAGUUUAUAAAUUUUAUGAUUUGGAGAAACUGACUUAUAAUUUAUAUGUAGAAAGGGCCAGAAUAGGAAAUAGGAGAUAAGCUGUCUACGUAUUGACAGUAUCUCACAUAUCAAGUGACGAGGACACAGUAGUUCUGGGAGUAGAAACAGAAAGGAACACUGCAUUUGAAAAAGGAACCAAUUUUUGAUGCCUAUUGAAAGUGGUGAAACGGUGAUGGAAGAGUUAAAAAAAAUAUACACAGUUUUUUAUACAGACCAACCAAAAGAGAUGUUGUGUUGUUCCCAGAUAUAAAGAAAUAAAAAUGAAUUAAAACUUUUGGAGAUUAGAUGAUAAACUUGGUUUGGAAUAUGUUGAGUUUAACACAAUGCAGUUUUCAUUAAAGAUAAAACUACUUUCACCAGUAGGGGUCUCUGAGUAGCAGAAUGUGAGACUAGACUUACUGUGGACAGAGUAAAUUUUUGUAGGUUGUACACCUGGCUUCAAUAUAUGCUGAAAUCCAAAGUAGCAAUGGACCAACAAUGUGUGAGAGUUCCAGUUGCUCCUCAUUCUCACUGGCAUUUAUUGAAUCGUGGGAUACAAAGAAACUAUAGGGCAGUAAGACUACUAUGAAUGGAUACUAGAAUGGUGAAUACAUGUCAUACAUUUGUCUAAGCCUACAAAAUAUGCAAAGCCAAAAGUGAACCCUUUUGGAUGCUAAUGACAUGUUGAUGUAGAUUCCUUUGUAAACAAAUAUAGGACUCUGGUGUUCAAUAAUUGGUAGUGAGUGGGUUGUGUGUAUUUGUAUAGGGCAGAGAAAUCCCUCUAUCUUCUGCUCAAUUUUGCUGUGAACCCCAAACUGGUCUAAAAAUAUAAAGUAUUUAAAACAUGAAGAAACAAACUUAAUCUCAACAAAACAAUUGAUGGAAAGAGACAUCUCAAAAACUAGAGAACCAAUAUCUAGCAUAGUAAUUUAAAUUUUGAAAUUGUUUUGUUCCUUUUGUAAUGAUUAUCUACUAUUCUUUAUCAUCUAAUGAAAAACAGUGUUUUUUUUAGUUUUCUAAUAUUGCUUAUUAG
rnacentral:lncRNA from 1 species